GCUGACGCUGAGCGCGGACGGCCGGCGCGUGGCGCUGGCCGAUCGAGACGGCGGUGUGCUGGUGUGGGACCUGGCAGAGGCAGCCGUAGUGGCGCGGCUGCCGCGCCACGCGGCCCCGGCCACGGCGCUGGCAUUCCGGCCUGCCGACGCUGCCCGCCUCCUGGUGGCCUACGCCGACCGCGCGCUCGUCGAGUUCGACACCGACGAAGGCCACUUCACCACCUGGUCACGCUGGGCGGCCGGCCACGUGCCGGAGGCGUGGCGCCGCCGCGCGCUGCCUGUGCGCCACGUGGCCUUCAGCGGGUGCGGCACCCGCGUGCUGCUGCACGAUGACAGCGGCGUAUGCGCGCUGGACGCGGCCGCCGGAGAGGAGGGCGGCUUGGACAAGAAGAGGGCCCGCUCCGCCAAGGGGCGCCGGAAGGUCACCGAGGUGGAUCAGCCGGCCGGGCCGGACAACAGCGUUGUUAUCACCGACAAGUACCGCCACCUGCUCUACCUGGGCAGCUUGGGAGAAGACCAGCUGCUGGCAGUGGAGGCCCCAGCCGCUCGUGUGGAAGAAAAGCUGCCGCCUGCGCUCCGGCGCAAGCGGUAUGGUGUGGCAUGAGCGUGCUGCAGACUGUACAUCAGCCAUCCGCCAAUGCCUUGCUGCGACUGCUGUGUACAAAUAAUACAUCUCUUGGUGACCCAGCA